ensembl:lncRNA
AGCACAACCAAAAUGUUCGACGUCUGUAUUCUAACGUUGGCUAGAUAGCUAAGCUAAUGUUAGCUGAAGACAGUGGGAUCGAGUGACUAGACUUAUUGAAUGGCCGGGGAGCUCAUUGCAUGGUGUUUUCGGUUGUCCAAUGAAAGCGUUCUGUUCACUAGUAUGCGAUAUUCUUCACGUUAUCCCAGUUGGAAUGAUCCAAAUUCAUGGGGAAAAUGAAGCGUAGUUUAAAACUGCAAAUAUUCUAAAGUGGUCUGAAUAGGCCCUCUCAGAUUUUCCGUCAACACACAAAGGACCCCAGUACGCGUGGACCGUUUAUGUUUUUGAAAAUAUUUGUUUUUACCUUUCUGUAAUCACUUAAUUUUCAAUAUGGGGACAAUAUCGACAAAAAAUAUGGUGUUUUUUCUUAGUCACCAUAAUUCGAAUUUUAAUGCGUGAGAUGUUGUAUUUACUAAUCUUGAAAAAAUAUUUGAAGCAGGCAGUUACUUGGAUAACGAAUACCGGUGACGCCAGCAAACAACCGUUGGGGCAAAUGCGCCAUUUUGGCUCAAACAGUCGGAAUUUACUUUCUUUGCAAUUUAAUAUUUUUUCGGCAUCGCUUAAUAUUUUUGUUAAUGGUUGGGAUGAGAUCAUGUUUCACCACAUUCUGUAUUUGGUGUUUUGUUUCCUAUGAGAACAAGUGUAACGUUCUGGUAGCAUUAGCCUCACCAAGCUACAUGCUAGUUAGCUGUGUCGUUCGAUUGCAUUGCCAACAACACUGGCUGAUGGUUAGCUUGCUAGCUAUAUUUAGCUGUUUUGACUUGUUAGCUCGCUAGAUAUGGGUGGGUGCUCCGCUCCAAAUUGCUCAAACUCAACAACAAUUGGGAAGCAACUGUUUCGUUUUCCAAAAGAGCCUAUACGUAAGAAGAAAUGGCUUGUAAACUGCCGGCGUAAUUUUUUACCAACUCCACAUUCCAGACUGUGUCAGGACCAUUUUGAGCUGAGUCAGUUUGAAGAAAUCGCCAGGUCGCCAGCAGGGGGAAAGAAGCUGAAACCAAAUGCCGUCCCCACUCUUUUCAAUGUGCGAGAUCCACCUUUUCCCGUAAACCCACAGAUAGUGCUACCACUCAAGCCAGAGCCAGUGGAGAGGGAUCUCAAUGUGGGGGAUCAUGGCUACGCACGACGGAAAACGACUCUGGGCAUGGAGGAAGAUGAUGCUGAUGAACUACACAAGGCAGAGGAACGUCCCUGCAUCCAUUGUCAACAUUACAGAACACUGCUGGAACAAGAAAUGCAACACACAGCCAGAUUACAGAAAGAGGUAGAGGAAAUGAAAAAGCGGAUGUUCAGACUGGACAGAAUAGAGAGGGGCCUCCAGACAUUUCUGUAUGAAGACCAGAUCCGCGCCCUGACACUGACCAAGCGUUCCCGGAGAGCUGUGUGGUCCCACGAGACAGUGCUGAAGGCCCGUGAGGUUGGGAGAAGAUGAUGCAGGGUCUCUUUACUCUGAGGCUGUGUGCUGCUCUGCCAGGGCUCCUAUGGGCAUCGCCUCUGUUAGUAGAAGGGGACAAUGAUGCCUCCAAGAUCUGUAAGCCGGCACCGCGCUGUGAGAUCAAGGGCCAUGGGGCCCCCAUGAAGGGGCUGCUUGGAAAUGUAGUUGUUCUGGCUCUACUGAAAGCCUGCUGACACUUCUGCCUCACACAGGCCUCCAA